CAGUCCCGCGGUAAUACGUAGGGUGCAAGCGUUAUCCGGAAUUAUUGGGCGUAAAGAGCUCGUAGGCGGUUUGUCGCGUCUGCUGUGAAAACUGGAGGCUCAACCUCCAGCCUGCAGUGGGUACGGGCAGACUAGAGUGCGGUAGGGGAGAUUGGAAUUCCUGGUGUAGCGGUGGAAUGCGCAGAUAUCAGGAGGAACACCGAUGGCGAAGGCAGAUCUCUGGGCCGUAACUGACGCUGAGGUGCGAAAGCGUGGGGAGCAAACAGGAUUAGAUACCCGUGUAGUCCUGUCUCUUAUACAC
rnacentral:rRNA from 1 species